rnacentral:tRNA from 1 species
ACGCUCAUGGCCUAACGGAUAAGGCAUCGGUCUCCUAAACCGGGAAUUGCGGGUUCGAAUCCCGCCGAGGGUG